ensembl:miRNA
CAACCAGGAGGGAGAGGGCUGAAAACAGGACCUGUGCUCACGGGGGCCUGCAUGACCCUUCCCUCCCCACAG